ncrna:unclassified sequences S15-Flavobacteria ribosomal protein leader
UAUAUUUGCACCACUUAUAUAAGUAUACAUAAUAAUCAUUUAAAUAAUAUUGGAAUG